rnacentral:siRNA from 1 species
UGUGGUUCUGAGCAAACAGCC